rnacentral:rRNA from 1 species
GACGAACGCUGGCGGCGUGCUUAACACAUGCAAGUCGAACGGCAAGGCCCUGCUUUCGUGGGGUGCUCGAGUGGCGAACGGGUGAGUAACACGUGAGUAACCUGACCUUGACUUUGGGAUAACUUCAGGAAACUGGGGCUAAUACCGGAUAGGAGCUCAUGCUGCAUGGUGGGGGUUGGAACGUUUCGGCGGUUGGGGAUGGAUUCGCGGCUUAUCAGCUUGUUGGUGGGGUAGUGGCUUACCAAGGCUUUGACGGGUAGCCGGCCUGAGAGGGUGACCGGCCACAUUGGGACUGAGAUACGGCCCAGACUCCUACGGGAGGCAGCAGUGGGGAAUAUUGCACAAUGGGCGGAAGCCUGAUGCAGCAACGCCGCGUGCGGGAUGACGGCCUGCGGGUUGUAAACCGCUUUCGCCUGUGACGAAGCGUGAGUGACGGUAAUGAGUAAAGAAGCACCGGCUAACUACGUG